AUACGGAGGGUGCAAGCGUUAAUCGGAAUUACGGGGCGUAAAGCGUACGUAGGCGGUUCGUUAAGUUAGAUGUGAAAGCCCCGGGCUUAACCUGGGAACUGCAUUUAAAACUGGCGAACUAGAGUUGAGUAGAGGGGAGUGGAAUUUCAGGUGUAGCGGUGAAAUGCGUAGAGAUCUGAAGGAACACCAGUGGCGAAGGCGACUCCCUGGACUCGAACUGACGCUGAGGUGCGAAAGCGUGGGUAGCAAACGGGAUUAGAAACCCUAGUAGUCC
rnacentral:rRNA from 1 species